rnacentral:tRNA from 1 species
AAGACUUUAAGUUAAAUAAACUAUUAACCUUCAAAGUUAAAAAUAUAAUUUUGAAAUAUAAGCCUUA